AACGACAGUUACUGUUCUUUGGGAGGGGGAGAGACAUUUUCUUCAGUGCUGUAGCCCCUGAGUUAACUGCCCUUGGCCCUGUGAAUGAUUCCUCCCCCAUGCUUCUGCUUCCAUGCUGAAGUAGAUCACUGCAGUCCCAUGGUCGUCUCCAGUCUGCAGUAGAUCCGGGUCUUCUCUUCCCUCCCACACCUUUAGCACUUUAGAGGAAGUUCUGGCCUGGGGUCCCAUGGAAUUCCAUCCCAGAUGAGCAUGCUUGGCAGUUUCUCAGAUUGAGUUGCAGCGUCAUCGGGUUUGGGGCGAGCAAAGCAGGCGCGAGGCCUCCCCCUAUUUCACACCCAGAGCACGUGGAACGCUCAACUGACUUUCCGGUGGUCUCCGCCGCCACCUCUUAGUUCAAUGUUUCUGCUGGCAGGUCCCAGACUGUUCAAUGCCUCUCUCUGAACUGGGAAUGAAGAGUUGAGGACCACUGGAUGCUGUGAAGCACCUUUUAGAAGGCUAAGCCUCAGAAGAACAAGAUCGGAAAGCAAAACAGGCUCUGGCCAUAAUGUAUCACUUUGGGCCUCAGGCAAUGGAAGGAGUGGAGUGUGGCCUGAAGCUUCCAAAAUUGUGAUCCCAACGUAACCUUCUCUGCCAAGAAGCUGCGCUUGGGCAUUUGUGAGUGAUGGUAGGCGAACUGACAUGCUUGUCUCCUGGGAGGAAGGCCCAUAAAGUGAUUCCCUAGGGCCAGAGACAUCCUAGCCUCAAACACUACUGAGAAAUGCUAAGACGCCUGAAGCCCACAGCAGACCUCCCAGAAAGGAAAGUUUGUGAAGCGCCAUUCAAACAUGAGCCCUACAGGUCCUCCUGCCACCCGCCUCUUUCCCACUUUCAUCUCAUCUGGGAAGGAUCAACUGCAGGAGGUGGAUGAGAAAGGAAGCAGCAAGGUCUGCUCAAGUCCAGCUCACCUGACAUACCCUGCUGUCCAACCCCACGUGUGCUGCUGUGGAUGCUGGGAGCAGCUGCAGCGUCACAGAGGAAAUCCCCUUUGACUUGGGAUCCAGUGAGACAUCACCUGAUUACAUAGGCUCCAUAAUACUCCCUCAGGACAGGAGAACCAGAGAUGAGAUGUCAGGAGGAGAUCCCCUGAGAAGCUGUCACUGGACCCUAUCAUCAGUGAGCACUGGCCGCAGCCAGGCGGCCCCCAACAGCCUCCGACACCACCAGACGAAGGGGCUGAAAGGAGGUGGGGGUGCAGAUUGUUCGCUUGUUUCCCACUCUAUGUUGUUGCCUCUCUAUCUCAGAGGAAAACAGCACAUUUCCCAGGGGUGAAAACAGGCCCAGCUCUGUGGUCGUCAAACCACAGGGCUGGGGUUGGCCUGGUAUGGACCAAGAGUGACAGGAAGGAGCCAGGCCGGAAUUCCAGGAGCCUGUCUGCUCAAACACCUGUUGGCAUCCAGACAACCCUGGGAGCCAGGCACAAGCUCGCCUUCCUCUCCUCUAGCUGCUGGAUCUGAGCUAAUAGCACCUUCACUCUUUAGUUCAACAUGAAGCCAGUACUGUCCUCUGGGGGAUGUGAUCCACAUGGCUUCCACCUUAUGAAGCUUCAUCCCUCCAGUCUCUGUAAGAUAUUGGGAUGGAACGCCCACAGUGAGAGAACUGAGUGUCCCACUGGACUCAGGGGCUUCACCAGUUCGCCCCUCCCUCAUCCUCACCAACUUUAUCACUGACCAGCGCAGAGACUGUGCCUCCUUCCUGCAAGCACCAAAGGUGCUGGUCCCUAGCCCCAGGAUUCCAGAAACUGGCGGAAUUUUUCCUGUCCCGUGGAGGGAUAUCUUGACUUAUAUUUUGACUAUACGUUUGAGAUUUUUCUGCUACACUGAGGCAAGCUUCUCCAGAACACUGUGGAAGGGUUUGAGAAUAUGUCCCCAGCUGAUCCCUGCAAAGUCGAUGCAGAGCUGCAGCUGCGCCUACCCCUGGACAACAUGGCUGGGGGGAAGGGCAGUGUCUCUCUACUUCGUCCCAGGUCACUGCUGAUGUGAAGAUGAGGGACUUGGGAAUAUCCACUUGGACAAUCUCUCCUUGGCCUUAAAGGGCUGGUCUGCCCUGAAAGAGUCACAGCUCAGAGAGGCUGCUCUUGAGAUCACAAGUUCUAACGAAACAUAGAGAACUCCAUAGCUGUCACAUGCUUCUGCGUGGCUACCUGGAUGGCUUAGAAGACACUGUAAUUGAACCCCAAGGGCUCUCGUGUCUGUGACUGAAAAGACAAAUCAUGCAGAUGAUGCAUAAAGAGAUGAGAAAGAUUUAAUACCCUCAGCAGGUAAGGAAUCAAUUGAGCCGCUAUCCCCUCGGAGGGAAGCGUGGGCGUAUUUCACUCAGGGACCUUAAAUACAUUCCUGGAUGAGUAGCCAUUCAUAAGCAUGCUUGGCCAAGGAGCUUAUGGCCAUGCACAGUUUAAGGUAACGGAGCACACGUUUAGAUUUAAGUGAUGUCGAGAAAGAGUCUCCCACAAAAGUGCUCACCUUGCUUUGUGGCCAACAGCACCGCUGUGGGCACUUGGCGUUGUGGGCACAGGACUCUCAUGGAGUCCGAACCCCUGGUGAGCUUUGUCCACGUGACGCACUGAAGUCAGAAGCAGAAGGCUGCUUAGGCAUGUCAAGAAGAUGGCGGAAGGAUGUUUUGAAUUUCAGUUUGUGCCCGUCCCUUCUCCCCUCAGACUUGGUCUCCUCGUUUCUUCUGUGUUGUUCUGUCAGGGAUAAAGACAGUUCUGAAACCUCAUUUUUGAUGGCUGCUGUUAACCUAAACAACUCUCAUCCCCCAAGAAGAGGGCCUGACCUCAGGGAUGGUGCUGCUCAUGGCUCCUUCGUCUUCAGAGACGCAGCAGGGACGCUGCUACUGUGUGACAGUGCAUGGCUGUUUCCAUGUGCUGCUUCGCCUUUGUCUGCAAGGAUCUGUCUCCCCACUUGCAGAGCACAGAGGUGUCCAGGUGGCACUAACUGUCCCCACCCCUUCUCCAGGCUCCUUUCUGCUGUUCCAGGACAGCCUGCCCUGUGCUGGUAUAUGUUCUGUCAGGCUUCAAGCUCCUUCCCACCCUGGGCUGCCCACAAACACAGUGGAAAACACAGCUCAGCCUUGUAAGCCUUUUAAGAGCCAGACCCUCUCCAUUUGCUGAGUAAACUUGCCCAGGGUUAAAAUACCCCUUGCCCUAGGAAUAAAGACAACAUAAAGUGAAAACAUGGAGUGUUCAGGUCCUCGGUGGGUCUCCUCCAGGUCUUCUGUGGGCCACUGUAAUCUGCUGCAGCAUGCACACAGCUUAGUGACCCUUCCCACAGUGUUCUCCGCUGCUGUCUUCCCAAAGCCUAAUGAGGAAUGGCUAUAGCUUCAGCCACAGAGCACGGCUAUCUUUCUUGUACCUUUGGAAGUGCAAAUGAGAGGUAGCGGUUCAUUAGGUAGACGCCUGCUGAUCGGUGUGCUGUGCAGGUCAUCUCAGGGUUAGACACAUUAGAGAUUGGGUCAUGGAUGGAAACCUCCAACAAUCGGGGACCAAAUAACUCUUCUGUGGUCACAAACUGAAUACCUCUGAAUUAUUCAUCUAGGGAAGGCUAACUGACAUAUGUGUCUCCUUAGAAGAAGGCAUUCCUCCAAACAGCCGGGGGAAGAGACUCGGGGUGGUAGAAAUGCAGAGAUGAUGUAGCAGUGCAGAGAGGCCCAGGUUUUCAGCUUUCACAGGACUGGGUGGGCCUUCUGGUGGUAAAAAUGUCUAUUUUCUUGAAGUCAUUGCUGUACUUUGUAUGUAACCCCACAUCAAUAUUCCCGACAGCGACCCCAAUAAAACUUCGUUGCCUCACC